rnacentral:rRNA from 1 species
UACGUAGGGGGCAAGCGUUGUCCGGAUUCAUUGGGCGUAAAGAGCGUGUAGGCGGCUUUGCAAGUCCGUUGUGAAAACUCGAGGCUCAACCUCGAGACGCCGGUGGAAACUGCAAAGCUAGAGUCCGGAAGAGGAGAGUGGAAUUCCUGGUGUAGCGGUGAAAUGCGCAGAUAUCAGGAAGAACACCCGUGGCGAAGGCGGCUCUCUGGGACGGUACUGACGCUGAGACGCGAAAGCGUGGGGAGCGAACAGG